GACGAACCGUGCGAACGUUGUUCGGAUUCACUGGGCUUAAAGGGCGCGUAGGCGGCUUGCCAAGUCAGGGGUGAAAUCUUUCGGCUCAACCGGAAAACAGCUUCUGAUACUGGCGGGCUUGAGGGAGGUAGGGGCGGAUGGAACUUCCGGUGGAGCGGUGAAAUGCGUAGAUAUCGGAAGGAACGCCGGUGGCGAAAGCGAUCCGCUGGACCUCCUCUGACGCUGAGGCGCGACAGCGUGGGGAGCAAACAGG
rnacentral:rRNA from 1 species